rnacentral:rRNA from 2 species
CGAGGGUUCCACCUCUUCCCAUUCCGAACAGAGAAGUUAAGCCUCGUCACGCCGAUGGUACUGCGUAACAGUGGGAGAGUAGGUAGCCGCCGUUU